rnacentral:misc_RNA from 1 species
UUCAAUCUGUGAUUUACAGCAGGAUGUAUGUCGAUGUGAGUGUCGCUCUCGCUAGUCUCUCCGAUCUGCUUCUCGUGCUCUCUCCUCACGUAUUUCUCAUGAUCCGAUAACGCCACAUUGAAAUCAAAAGCUUCAUUCCUCUCUGCAAACCCUAGUCCGAUAAAUGCGUGCUUCCCUAUUCCGUCCUCGAUUUUAAGCACGAAAUACCGGGACGAGUCUAGCACCGUCUCUACCGAUGUCUCGCGCUGACCUGGAUUUACGAAACAUGCUGCGAACAGCUCACCGGAGUUGGGAUCCUCCAGCCGGAUCUCACAUCGGUCUUUGCAAGACACGACCCGAAGCCUACCGGACCAGAUCUU